rnacentral:tRNA from 1 species
AGGGAUGUAGCUCAGUGGUAAAAUGCUUGCCUGGUGUGCAUGAGGCCCUGGGUUCAAUCCCCAGCACCAUUA